AGUGAACGCUGGCGGCAGGCCUAACACAUGCAAGUCGAACGGCAGCACAGCAGUAGCAAUACUGUGGGUGGCGAGUGGCGGACGGGUGAGGAAUACAUCGGAAUCUGCCUAGUCGUGGGGGAUAACGUAGGGAAACUUACGCUAAUACCGCAUACGACCUACGGGUGAAAGCGGGGAUCGCAAGACCUCGCGCGAUUAGAUGAGCCGAUGUCCGAUUAGCUAGUUGGCGGGGUAAUGGCCCACCAAGGCGACGAUCGGUAGCUGGUCUGAGAGGAUGAUCAGCCACACUGGAACUGAGACACGGUCCAGACUCCUACGGGAGGCAGCAGUGGGGAAUAUUGGACAAUGGGCGCAAGCCUGAUCCAGCCAUGCCGCGU
rnacentral:rRNA from 1 species